rnacentral:lncRNA from 1 species
GGAAAUUCCUUGAUUAAGCAAUACCACCUAGGGAUAGGGGGUAGGACGAUCAAUUGUUUUUGCUUCCGUUUAUCAUGCAUUAUUAAUUACCAGGGGAGGCUAGGGAUAGCAAGCCAGUAAUUAGUAAUAGGCUCUUUUCACCGAGGGAUCGGGUUAAGGGUAGACUAAGAAAGUUUGCAUGACAAUAUGAUAAUAAAGCGAAUUUAAUAAGAAAAGUAGAUAUAUGAGAGUGGUUGGGUGAAAUCUGAAUCCUAGCAACAAAUCCAUCUCAUAUUAUCAACAUCCUCC